rnacentral:misc_RNA from 1 species
GAAAUGCGAUAAGUAAUGUGAAUUGCAGAAUUCAGUGAAUCAUCAAAUCUUUGAACGCACAUUGCGCCCGCCAGCACUCUGGCGGGCAUGCCUGUUCGAGCGUCAUUUCAACCCUCAGAACCCCUUGCGGGAUCUGGCGUUGGGGAUUGGCAUCCAGCUAGCCCCGAAAUCUAGUGGCGGUCCCUCCGCGACCCCCCCUGUGCAGUAGCGAUACCUCGCAGCGGGACAGCGGUCUGACCACGCCGUAAAACCCCCAACUUCUCAAGGUUGACCUCGAAUCAGGUAGGAAUACCCGCUGAACUUAAGC